UUACCUAUAAUGACAAAGGUAUACAGCCCAUUGUCUAUAUAUAUAGCUUUAUUGAUGUCUCCCUUAACAGUAUACGUGUGUGAGUCAGCUAGCUGUGGACGAACAUGAGAAGCCUAACAACGUACCCGGACACAUACACAUUAGAUUAACGUUUAGAGUGGCUGCCAGGAUACACACGUACCGGGACAUGUCGUUUACACCUACAUCGGCAAAAAUGAUAUUUAGCAGGAGAACAUAUGGUGUCAUUGUAUGCUGUCAUUGUUAAAUGAGUGUAGAGGGAGUCACAGGACCGGAUCACCUUUGAAUGUCCAGAUUUCCAAGAAGUUAAGGAGAAAUCUGUCGUUAACAGACACAUUUGACUUCAAAGCGAAGAAGGUACUAGACAGGUUCAGUAUAGAAGGAAGAUCGGGAAG
rnacentral:lncRNA from 1 species